rnacentral:rRNA from 1 species
GGCUUAGAACUAACGCUGGCAGUGCGUCUUAAGCAUGCAAGUCAAACGGGAUGUAGCAAUACAUCUAGUGGCGAACGGGUGAGUAACGCGUGGAUGAUCUACCUAUGAGAUGGGGAUAACUACUAGAAAUAGUAGCUAAUACCGAAUAAAGUUAAUUAAUUUGUUAAUUGAUGAAAGGAAGCCCUUAAAGCUUCGCUUGUAGAUGAGUCUGCGUCUUAUUAGCUAGUUGGUAGGGUAAAUGCCUACCAAGGCGAUGAUAAGUAACCGGCCUGAGAGGGUGAACGGUCACACUGGAACUGAGAUACGGUCCAGACUCCUACGGGAGGCAGCAGCUAAGAAUCUUCCGCAAUGGGCGAAAGCCUGACGGAGCGACACUGCGUGAAUGAAGAAGGUCGAAAGAUUGUAAAAUUCUUUUAUAAAUGAGGAAUAAGCUUUGUAGGAAAUGACAAAGUGAUGACGUUAAUUUAUGAAUAAGCCCUGGCUAAUUACGUGCCAGCAGCCGCGGUAAUACGUAAGGGGCGAGCGUUGUUCGGGAUUAUUGGGCGUAAAGGG